rnacentral:sRNA from 1 species
ACAUAUAUUAAACCUGCGUAAUAUCUGAAAAUGAACUCUUAUUUAAUUCAGCUCUAUUUAUGUUUUAGGAAUAUGCUCAUCGGUAAUUUUCAGCUGAGAUCACGGACAAGGGGAUUUAUCCGAUAAAAAAAAUGCCGGCUAUUACGCCGGCAUUUUCAGAUUAA